ACAGUGGACGCGAGCAUCUUUGUUGUAAGUGUUUAAGAGCGUACGGUGGAUGCCUUGGCACCAGGAGCCGAUGAAGGACGUAGGAGGCUGCGAUAAGCCUCGGGGAGCUGUCAACCGAGCUGAGAUCCGAGGAUGUCCGAAUGGGGAAACCCAGCCACAGUGAUGUGUGGUUACCCGCGCCUGAAUAUAUAGGGCGUGAGGAGGGAACGUGGGGAAGUGAAACAUCUCAGUACCCACAGGAAGAGAAAACAACAUGUGAUUCCGUGAGUAGUGGCGAGCGAAAGCGGAAGAGGCUAAACCAUGGGUGUGUGAUAGCCGGCGGGCGUUGCAUUCGUGGGGUUGUGGGAUCCGUCUUGUCAAUUCUGCCGGAUUGGCCGACAGUGAGAAAUCAUCGUGUUAGUCGAAGUGGUCUGGAACGGCCUGUCGUAGAGGGUGAGAGUCCCGUAGACGAAAACAUGGUGACUGUCGUGACGGACACCCGAGUAGCAGCGGGCCCGUGAAAUCUGCUGUGAAUCUGUCGGGACCACCCGAUAAGCCUGAAUACUCCCUGGUGACCGAUAGCGGACUAGUACCGUGAGGGAAAGGUGAAAAGUACCCCGGAGGGGAGUGAAAUAGUACCUGAAACCGUGCGCUUACAAUCCGUCAGAGCCUGCGCCACUUCGGUGGGUGGGUGAUGGCGUGCCUUUUGAAGAAUGAGCCUGCGAGUUAGCGGCAUGUCGCGAGGUUAACCCGUGUGGGGUAGCCGUAGCGAAAGCGAGUCCGAAUAGGGCGUUUGUAGUGGCAUGUUCUAGACCCGAAGCGGAGUGAUCUACCCAUGGCCAGGGUGAAGCGACGGUAAGACGUCGUGGAGGCCCGAACCCACUUAGGUUGAAAACUGAGGGGAUGAGCUGUGGGUAGGGGUGAAAGGCCAAUCAAACUCCGUGAUAGCUGGUUCUCCCCGAAAUGCAUUUAGGUGCAGCGUCGCGUGUUUCACUCUGGAGGUAGAGCUACUGGAUGGCCGAUGGGCCCCACAAGGUUACUGACGUCAGCCAAACUCCGAAUGCCAGAGUGUGAGAGCGCGGCAGUGAGACUGCGGGGGAUAAGCUUCGUAGUCGAGAGGGAAACAGCCCAGAUCGCCGGCUAAGGCCCCUAAGCGUGUACUAAGUGGAAAAGGAUGUGGGGUCGCGAAGACAACCAGGAGGUUGGCUUAGAAGCAGCCACCCUUGAAAGAGUGCGUAAUAGCUCACUGGUCAAGUGAUCCUGCGCCGACAAUGUAGCGGGGCUCAAGUACACCGCCGAAGCCGCGGCAUUCACAUAACACCCAUGCGGGUCUACGGGCCUGUGUGCAGUGGUGUGGAUGGGUAGGGGAGCGUCGUGCAGCCAUGGAAGCGCCGGAGUGAUCCAGGUGUGGAGGCUGCACGAGUGAGAAUGCAGGCAUGAGUAGCGAAAGACGAGUGAGAAACUCGUCCGCCGAAUGACCAAGGGUUCCUGGGCCAGGUUAAUCCGCCCAGGGUGAGUCGGGACCUAAGGCGAGGCCGACAGGCGUAGUCGAUGGACAACGGGUUGAUAUUCCCGUACCCGUGUGAACGCGCCCCUGGUGAAUCAGUGAUGCUAAGCGCCCUGAAGCCGCCUUCGAACCUUCGGGUUCUCCGGUGUGUGGAUGCGCGUGAACCGAUCUGGUAGUAGCCAAGCGAUGGGGUGACGCAGGAAGGUAGCUGAGCCAGUCAGUGGUAAUACUGGUGUAAGCGUGUAGGGCGUGACCUAGGCAAAUCCGGGUCACAUACAGCCUGAGACGUGAUGCGUAGCCGAUUGAGGCGAAUUCAGUGAUCCUAUGCUGCCGAGAAAAGCCUCUAGCGAGCUUUCACACGGCCCGUACCCCAAACCGACACAGGUGGUCAGGUAGAGAAUACUAAGGCGAUCGAGAUAACUGUGGUUAAGGAACUCGGCAAAAUGCCCCCGUAACUUCGGGAGAAGGGGGGCCUCGUCUGGUGACGGAACUUGCUUCCUGAGCUGGGUGGGGCCGCAGAGACCAGAGAGAAGCGACUGUUUACUAAAAACACAGGUCCGUGCGAAGUCGUAAGACGAUGUAUACGGACUGACGCCUGCCCGGUGCUGGAAGGUUAAGAGGACCGGUUAGCAGUAAUGGCGAAGCUGAGAAUUUAAGCCCCAGUAAACGGCGGUGGUAACUAUAACCAUCCUAAGGUAGCGAAAUUCCUUGUCGGGUAAGUUCCGACCUGCACGAAUGGCGUAACGACUUCUCUGCUGUCUCAACCACAGACUCGGCGAAAUUGCAUUACGAGUAAAGAUGCUCGUUACGCGCGGCAGGACGAAAAGAACCCGGGACCUUCACUAUAGCUUGGUAUUGGUGUUCGGUUCGGUUUGUGUAGGAUAGGUGGGAGACUGUGAAGCGGGCACGCCAGUGUUCGUGGAGUCGUUGUUGAAAUACCACUCUGAUCGUAUUGGACAUCUAACCUCGGACCAUGAUCUGGUUCAGGGACAGUGCCUGGUGGGUAGUUUAACUGGGGCGGUUGCCUCCCAAAAUGUAACGGAGGCGCCCAAAGGUUCCCUCAGCCUGGUUGGCAAUCAGGUGUCGAGUGCAAGUGCACAAGGAGCUUGACUGUGAGACUGACAGGUCGAGCAGGCAGGGACGAAAGUCGGGACUAGUGAUCCGGCACCGGCAAGUGGCAGCGGUGUCGCUCAACGGAUAAAA
rnacentral:rRNA from 1 species